GUGCUCCCUUCGGUAGCAAAUAUACUAAAACUGGAACGAUACAGAGAAGAUUAGCAAGACCCCUGCGCAGGGUGACAGGCAAAAAGUUUCAAUAAAGAAAAAAAAUUCUC